GCCGAUGUGGUGGAACUGGUAGACACGCUAUCUUGAGGGGGUAGUGGCGUAAGCCGUGCCGGUUCGAGUCCGGCCAUCGGUACCA
rnacentral:tRNA from 1 species